ACACGACUCUCGGCAAUGGAUAUCUCGGCUCUCGCAUCGAUGAAGAGCGCAGCGAAAUGCGAUACGUGGUGCGAAUUGCAGAAUCCCGCGAACCAUCGAGUCUUUGAACGCAAGUUGCGCCCGAGGCCAACCGGCCAAGGGCACGUCUGCCUGGGCGUCAA
rnacentral:rRNA from 3 species